AUUGAACGCUGGCGGCAGGCUUAACACAUGCAAGUCGAACGGUAACAGGGAGCUUGCUCCGCUGACGAGUGGCGAACGGGUGAGUAAUGCGUCGGAACGUGCCGAGUAGUGGGGGAUAACGCAUCGAAAGGUGUGCUAAUACCGCAUACGAACUGAGGUUGAAAGUGGGGGACCUUCGGGCCUCACGCUAUUCGAGCGGCCGACGUCUGAUUAGCUAGUUGGUGAGGUAAAGGCUCACCAAGGCGACGAUCAGUAGCGGGUCUGAGAGGAUGAUCCGCCACACUGGGACUGAGACACGGCCCAGACUCCUACGGGAGGCAGCAGUGGGGAAUUUUGGACAAUGGGCGCAAGCCUGAUCCAGCCAUGCCGCGUGUCUGAAGAAGGCCUUCGGGUUGUAGAGGACUUUUGUCCGGGAGCAAAUGCUGGUGGCUAACAUCCACCGGAGCUGAGAGUACCGGAAGAAUAAGCACCGGCUAACUACGUGCCAGCCGCCGCGGUAAAAC
rnacentral:rRNA from 1 species